rnacentral:lncRNA from 1 species
UUUUUCUUUUAUAAUAAGAAAAACUAUUUAGGAAAAAAAGAAAAAAAAUGGGACCGGCUACUACUGUUUAAAAUCUUUAGAUGUGUUGUGUCCCUUCUGCUUAAAAAUAAAAUACAGAACCUUCUCUAUCCGACUUGGAAAAUAUCAGUGGAGUGGAGUAGCUUUGAAGAAGUGCCCGAGACGGAGAGGUGACCUUCAUAAGAAACAGGGAACAGAGCUGAAGAAGAUUCCAGGGCUGCACGAACAGAGCAGAGAUGUGUGCCUUUACUGAAAGAAAAUGGAAUCCUUCUCUGUAAGUAAGCCAAGAUCGUGUGGUGCUUCUCGUCGCGGCCUGAAGUGUAGAAGAGAAGGAGAAUGAGGAAGAAAAUAUUUUUGAGAUUUUACAGAGAUUUUCACUCUGUUGUGGAAUAAAGUCGCUCACACCAGGCAGCUUAACUGAACGCAUUUUAUACUUUAAGUUUCUGACACAACCUCAGAGCAAAGAGGAACCUCUCCAAGGACCUAACCAGAUGCGAGCCUGGUUCAACUUUCUUCUAAAGAACAGAGGAAACAGACAACAGAAGUUGUGCACACAACAAACUAAAAGAGAAAAACCCAGAAAGUAG